UACGAAGGGGGGCUAGCGUUGCUCGGAAUCACUGGGCGUAAAGGGUGCGUAGGCGGAUUGUUAAGUCAGGGGGUGAAAUCCUGGAGCUCAACUCCAGAACUGCCUUUUGAUACUGAGAAGCUUGAGUCCGGGAGAGGUGAGUGGAACUGCGAGUGUAGAGGUGAAAUUCGUAGAUAUUCGCAAGAACACCAGUGGCGAAGGCGGCUCACUGGCCCGGUACUGACGCUGAGGUGCGAAAGCGUGGGGAGCAAACAGG
rnacentral:rRNA from 1 species